GGUUGCUCAGCCAUUUGAUCACCAACAUGGCCGCUAAAUACCUGAGUUGUGAACAAAGCAUGGAUCAGGGACUCAUUACCACCAAAAUGCAAAGCAGUUACACAGAAAGUCAACUUCAGGAAAACACAUACAAAUCACAGCACAGUGGAAAGAAUCUUCUGGAAGCGAACGAGUGUAGUAGACCC